rnacentral:tRNA from 1 species
CAAGAUAUAGCUUAAAUAAAGCAUCUAGUUUACACCUAGAAGAUUCCACAGUCCGUGUAUACCUUGA